rnacentral:sRNA from 12 species
AAUGGUACUUCUCCGAGAAAACCGGAGCCGGAUAGCGCGGAGGCGUGACCCGGUGAAGCGCGGCUUAGGCUGGGAUACGCCUUUGGCGGCUUCA